GAUUUAUCUCAAAAUUAGAGAUAGAAAUGAAACAGAAUUGGCCAUGAUUGGAUACUUGUUGAAGGUGGGCACAUGGAGUUUUGAUUCACCAUCAGUUUUUUUUUUUUUUUUGGUUACUGUUGUCACUAUUGUUAAUAUUGUUACUAUUAAUAUUGUUACAACUGUUUCAAACUUCUGUUUAUGUUUGAAAAUUUUUUAUAGUGAAAUGUAAAAAAUAAAAAAAGAGGCUCACUCUGGCUGCAGCUGUGUGAAGAUUGUAUUGUGGAAGAGUAAAGAGCAGGAGAGCCAGUCAGGUCCAGAAGAGUCCACCUGAGACUGGCGUUUCUUCUCAGUUUAAGACAAGAAAGAGGAGUUCCGGAAUUCUGGUCUCUAGGAGAGGUGCCCUAACAAGGAUCUACUCCUGUACUCCUGGUCCCAUCAGCUGUGUGUUUAGAACACACUCAGUGUCCCAUUGAAUAAAUGAAGCAAAAUGAUCCUUGAACUGAAAAGGACUGAGCAAGAAUUGAUAAAAGAGAA